UCAGUCAGGAAAAAGAGGGCAGGCUGCGC
rnacentral:sRNA from 1 species